rnacentral:lncRNA from 1 species
UUAUAGAAAAAUAUUAUAAAUAUACACCAAAAAUAACAACAGUGAAUAUCUCAAGAUGUGAAUUUGUGAGUGAUUGUUUUGUUAUGUUUGCUUUUAGCUUUUGUAUGUUUUGCAUGUUUUUCUACAAUAAGCAUGUUAGUUUUAAAAUGUGGGAAAUCCCAGUAAGUGUUAUUUUCAAGCUAAUUUCAAAAAGCCUUUAUAAAUCGUAGUCCAUAUACCCUUCCUUACCAUUAUUACCCAUGUUACUGCCAAAUACCUCUCUGUCAGUAUUAUGUGAUCUGGGUCAUAAGAAUACACACUCCAGUCUAGGAAGGCCUUCCAUGGACUGGUCAGAUGGCCAUUUCUGGGUCGCAAAAUCUGGAUGGCACAAAUGUUGGUCCUGGUUGAGACUUGAAGAGAGGUCAUACUUCUGUAAGAAAAGAAGACUAGAAACUUUGAAGAAGAAAAAAACGGAAAUAGAAGAAAAGCUGUGUAACCCAGAAACAGCUCAAGCUACACCUUAAGUCUGUGAGCAAGCAGUGCAUUUCAGAAAGGUGGAUGUUGCCGGUAGGACCUUUCUAACUCUUCAGCUCUUCAGCCAAAGCAGUGAGGAAAAUAAUGUUUACAUCAAAUGCCCAUUCAUGUUUUGUUUUAGUGGCAGAACUAAAUUAUUCAUCCAAAUGCUAGAAGGCAAACACAUUCCUCAAGGAGAGUCUGGCAAGCUGUCCAGAAGUUAACUUACUGUUGAAAGUCUUGUCAGUGUGCAGGAUUUAGAAAAUGGGAGCUUUGGGAGAUUGGGGAUGCGAGAAGUAUCUACACUAUGGUUGACAGAUUUAGCAAAUAAAAUACAGGAUGCCCAGUUAAAUUUGAAUUUUAGCUAAACAGCAAGUAAUUGUGCAUAAAAUAUAUCCCAAAUAUUGCAUGGAACAUACUUCUACCAAGAAAAAAUAUUGUUGUGUAUCAGCAACCCUAAUGCUUAGAAAACAAAGAAGAGCGUAUCUGCAUGGGCAUAUUAUCUCACUCAAGACAGACAACGUACAUACAUACUGAAGGGAGGGUGGGUAGAGGUACAGAAAGUCUAGGGCUAAGGACAACUUCUUUCUGGACCUAGAAAAGGCCCCUAGAAAUAAAGUGAAGCAAUGAGUUGAAUAAACUUCUUGCUUUCAUGUAAGAAAAUUGGGUCUUUCUAAUGUUGUACUUCUUGGUUUAAUAUUGGUUAAACCAAUAUUACCCCAAAAGCAGAAGGCAGAGAAAACCAGGAAAGUCCCAGGGUACAUAGUGUGCAAGCAGACAGCAAAAGGAACGUGCUAAAUGGCAAAGGGUAAGUCUCAGAAGUGUUGCAGUUGGGGUUGAAGUAAGUGUUGGUUGGUUAUGCUUAACUUUUCCUACAGCCAAGAUUUCAGCACUUCAUCUGAAUACCUUGCACCUUGCAAAAUUGUUUUCCAGAAAAAGUGCACUGAAAAAUAAAAUCAUGUUUUUUUAAAGUUAAGGGAAAAGAGAUAUGUGUUGAUGCCUAGAUCUAUGUGACACCAAAUGAAUAAAAAGUAGAAAAAUAUCAUCUUCCAGAUGUUUCAUCUAGGUUAUAACAGCAUAUUUUCACUUUCCAUGCAGAUGUUUGGCAUGUAAAUGUAGGCUGUGACUAAGAUACUGAAAAGCACUGAUUGAGAAAUCAGAAAAAUGUCAUUUUUAUAUUGUCCACAAACGGCCACUGAAAUAUUUUUUCAACUUAUUUUUGGCCUAUCUUAAACAUAUAAUUGGCCAUGAAAUUACUAGCUCUGUAAUCUCAUAAGCUAAAUGAAACAUUGAUAUGACUUCUCAAUUUUCUGUUUUGCUCAUGUAUAUCCCCUUGCUUUGUUCUCUGAGCAUCUGAUUAAGGAAGUACUCAGUUUCCUAAAGCCAGAGGAUUCCAGUCCCACUGAAACCUGCUCGUGCCUUCACCCUCAUAGUCUCCCAGUGAGUGCAGUAUCCUGGAAAUUUGGAGUCUGACAAACCAUAACAGCUAAAGUUUGAUCAUGGAAGCACAGCCACCACAAGUGAUAUGAAAUAAAUGGUUUACUGAAGAGGUUAGACUCGACAGCAUUGUGGGAACUUAUAAAGAAGCCUAUGGGAGGCUGUUGCCUUUGCAUCUGGCAGUAGCCUUGAAGUCACUAGAGGUCAAGAAGGCUGGCAAUCAGGAAGACAAGCUGGACAUGAACAGAGAGACAAGACAAACUAAAACCCACAUCUGUAUCUCAUGGCCUCCAACCUCAACAAUAUAGAUAACUUGCAGAAGAGACUGGUGUCCUUUGCCGUGAAGCUGCACAAGGUUCCUGCCAUGGCUCAGGACUCAAAGAACUGAAAGGAAGAGAUCUGCUGAAAACUAGAGAAGCUGUGGACCCAGCCAUUGCCCCACACCAACGAGGUGAACCAGCAGAUAAGUGAUGACGUCAGAAUAUUAUAGACCUAUUGAAAACACUGGCUUCUCAAAUAUGGCAAAAAACACUGAAUUCCAGAAAACUUUAAAUUACUCAUAUUUGCUUAUGGAUAGGUAGAAACCUGCUACAAUAAGGAGACUACCCUUGUUCUUUGGAUAUGCAUAAUGAAGUAAUUAUGGAGAAGGGUAAUAGUUAUUGCAACUUACUCUCAAAUGCUUCCAAAAGGAAAGGGAAUAAAGAGGGGAAGGAAGAGGAAGAAGGGGUAAAAGAGAAGAACAGAAAAAAAAAAGGUAAUAAGUGUUCCUAUAAUAUUGACUAAUUUCUUAUUUGCUUCAAUGCUUUUUGUUUGUUUCAAUGCUUAAUCUAAAUUAAAUUUCUUCAUUCUCACUCUUAAAAAGGAAGGAGGAAGAGAACCCAGCACAGAAAGUACAGGAAAACAUCAUUCCUUAACCUCUUUAAAAUUCUUUCAUAAAGUAAACCACCUCAUUCAUCAAAGAUGUGAUUUUAUGUACAAUAAAGUAUUUUUAAAGGUUUUGCAAUUUUGUGGAUCUUUCAGAAAUUUAGCCAAAAAAAUUCAAGAGUGCCAUGAGCUCAACUGAACAGACCUUUGAGACAAUCAAGUCCAAUCCCUUCAUCAUACAUUAUGCAAGUAAGCAGACAGGAAAGGAAGAAACUUUUGACAAAAUUUCAGAAUGGUUUCUAACCAUAUCUUUUUAGGAUUAAUUUCCUCUCUAAUAGUUAUUUUGAAGGCCAAAUUCUCAUUUUGAGUUACAUGGUAAGUACACAUUCCAUUAACUAUGUAUUUUUAAUGGAGAAAAAAUGCUGUCCACAUUUAUCUGUAUAUGAUAGUUGCUUCAAAAUAUUGUUUCAUGUUAAGUGUCUUUGGUUUGUUUAUUUCAUGUGUUUUUUUUUUUUAAUUAAACUUAAGAGAAGGGAAGUCAGUUAUAUUGUAUCCGUAUUUUUACUGACCAUGUUCUUUCUUCCUGAUGUUCUAAGGGUUCUUCUUUCGGCAUUUCUUUUCCAUGUAGAGAGCUUCCUUCAGCUGUUCUUUUAAAGCAGAUCUGCUGGUGACAGAUUCUUAGUUUUUCUUCAUCUGAGAAGGCUUUGAUUUCCCAUUGAUUCCUGAAGGAUACUUUGACUAAGUAUAGGAAUUCUAGGUUAACAGUUAUUUUCUUUCAGCACUUGAAAAAUGUUGCACCACUUCCUUCUGGGAUCUAUAGUUCCUGGUGAGAAAUAUGUUGUCAUUCAAAUUAUUUUUUGCCCUGCAAGUAAGGUGUUAUUUUUCUGUCACUAAGCACUUUGAAGCUUUUUAAAAUUGUCUUUAGAUUUCAAGUUUGACUCUAUUGUGUCUUCAUAUGGAUGUCUUUGGAUUUAUCUUCCUUGGAGUUUACCCAGCUUCUCAAAUUUGUAGGUUUACAUCUUCUGCCAAAUUGGGAACAUUUUCAGUCAUUAUUUCUUAAAGUGCUUCUUUAGUCCUAUCUCUUUCUUCUCUCUUUCUAGGUCUCUGAUUACACAUUAUAUCUUCUAUUAUAUUCUCCCAGGUCCCUAAGGCUCUGUCCUUUUUUUUCAGUUAUUAUUUUCUCUACAUUGUUCUAAUUGAGUAAUAUCUGUUGUUCUGUCUUCCAGUUACCUGAUUCUUUUCUCUGUUCCCUCCAUACUGCUCUUUAGCCUGUCCAUUGUGUUUCUUAUAUUGAUUGUUAUAUUUUUCAGUUCCAAAAUUUCUCAUUGAAUUAUUCUUUAUAUUUUCUCUUUCUUUCUUGAGACUUUCUAUUUAUUAAAGUUUUCUGUUUUUACAAUUUGUAAUUUUAGUAUAUUCUGUAAUGUUUUUAAUUGCUUGUUGAGGCAUCUUAGGACAGCUGCUAUAAAAUUCUUGAUCAUUCUAAUAUCUCUAUCAGCUUAGUGUUGGCAACUAUUGAUUGUCUAUCUUCAUUCAGUUUCAGAUCUUCCUGGUUCUUGGUUUAAGAAGUGAUUUUCAUUUGAAACAUGGACAGUUUGGGUAUUAAAAGACUCAAGAUGUUAUUUAAACCUUCUGUUUUAGCUGUUUUCUUCUGACACAGUCCUGGCAGGGAAAGUAGGGUGCCACCUCAUUCCUAGCCAAUGAAGGUAAAAGUCCAGGUUGUCACUUAGCUUCCAUUGCCACAUUGGGGUGGGGGAUGCCACUUGUUACCGCUGGACAGAGGUAGGAGCUGCUUCUCCCCACCUGAGCUCCUCUAAUACCAAGGGAGCAGGGUGGCCACAAGUGGUGGUAAAAGUCCUGACUCUCCACUAAGCUUUUUCUGACACUACUGCACCAGUGGCUGUGGGUGGAAGUCUAGAAUCCCCAUGUAGUCUCCACUGACAUCAAAAGUAGAGGAAAAAGGAGGCAGAGGGAAUACUCAGUGUGGAUGAAACUCCCAGCUCCCUGCUCAGAUUUUUCUGACAUCACCCCAGUGGAGGUGGCAUACAACACUUCACUAUCCCUCUGAAGGGAGCAAAUCUAUGCUCCCCACUUGGCCUUUGCUGGUGGGAGUGAGGUUGGAGCCGCUGUAUUUUUCUGUAGCAUUGGCUGGAGUACAGCAGUUAUUGUCAAAGUUUUCUAUCUUGCUAGGCUGCCUAUUGGCUGGCCUUUGGCUAGAGAAAGUAGGCUUUUGGAAGGGACAUUUUUGUCUGCUCCUAUUGGCAUUUCCAGGUUGCUGGCUUUGUUAGUUUCAAGUCUCAGAUACGUGAGGCCAAAAGAAAACCCAGGGAACUUUCCACAGUGUUGUUUCUUGGGUUCCAAGUUCCCUAGUUCUGCCUUCUUCUCUUGACCUUUAGAGUCUUCUUUUGUUUGUGUUACAUAUUUUGUUCAGGGUUUUUGUUUUGUUUUGUUUUGUUUUGCUUUUGGAGA